rnacentral:rRNA from 1 species
ACUCAAGAAAAGAAUUUUAGUUCCUCUGAAAGUCCCCCCUUAAUUUUAUAAGAUAAACCCAAGACUUUUAUGUUACCCAAGUAAGGUACAGCUUACUUGGGACAGGGUACAACCUCCACCACCGGGUAAGCCAUUCUACACAACGUAAAUUUGUAGGCCUAAAAGCAGCCAUCCACUACAGCGUCAAAGCUUAUUUACAUCCCAAACUAAUAACUUGAUUUUUCCCGAGCCCCUCCACAGUAUUGAGUAAUUCUAUGCCUACCCAUAGAAUCUUCUAUGUUAAAACUAGUAACAAGAAGCUAGCCUUCUCUAAAAUGCCCGCAUAACCCAGGCCUGAACUCAGCACUGGCUAUUAACAGCCUUCAACUAAAGAAGAAACUUUCCAAGCAAAAUCUUCUAAAUAAUCUGUUAACCUAACACAAGCGCAUUUCAAGAAAGAUUAAAAGAAAAUGAAGGAACUCGGCAAACUACCACCCCGCCUGUUUACCAAAAACAUCGCCUCUUGAAGUAUAUAAGAGGUCCAGCCUGCCCAGUGACUUGUUUAACGGCCGCGGUAUCCUAACCGUGCGAAGGUAGCGUAAUCACUUGUCUUUUAAAUAAAGACUAGUAUGAAAGGCAUCACGAGGGUCAAACUGUCUCCUUUUUCUAAUCAGUGAAACUAAUCUUCCCGUGAAGAAGCGGGAAUUUCUCUAUAAGACGAGAAGACCCUAUGGAGCUUUAAACUGUAAAUUAUUAGCCUAUCUCCCCUACCCCCUCCAGAAAUUUAACACUUUAAGCCAACUAAUUGUACGUUUUAGGUUGGGGUGACCUAGGAGAAAAACUAAUCCUCCUAGCUGAUAUGGGCUAAACCCCUAAGAAAAAAGCCACAACUUCAAUUAUCAAUAAAUUGACACCAAUUGACCCAGUCCGCUGAGCAACGAACCAAGUUACCCUAGGGAUAACAGCGCAAUCUACUUCAAGAGUUCCUAUCGACAAGUGGGUUUACGACCUCGAUGUUGGAUCAGGGUAUCCAAGUGGUGCAGCCGCUACUAAA